ensembl:lncRNA
GAAACCCCAAACAGGCCUUUUUUCAGCUCUCUCUGUCACUGUAGUAGGCUAGCUCUAUCCCUCUGAUGGGUGUUUGUGUAGAGCUGCUGUUGGGACUCUCCUUGGUUUUUACUUUUAUUUGACAAAUCUAGUCAUCCUGUGUGUCUGUGUGUGCCUCUGUUGUUCCUGUUUUAUGUUAUUUUUGAGGACUAGUUCUGAUUGUUGGUCUGUGGAUUGUGACAAUGUAUCCACACAAACAGGCAGAAGAAGGUGUGAGUUUACUUUCAGUGUUCUUAGUCAGUAGUUAAGCUAGUUAGCUCCUCCAUCAUCAGGUUAACAUCUCAGCAGCAAAUGGUAAGUGAAUCUUUUUUUUUCCUCUGAAGAAUGUAAAAUGGCCUGUGGUGCUGUGACUGCAGGAGCAGCAGGCCACAGACAGGAGCUUUCCAACACUUUGCCUUUUAUUCCCUCCAUCACACUUUGAUUCUUCUGUGAGUGAGAGUGGAUGUUUGGGACGUAGUUAUCUGUAGUUACCUUUUCUGACCCUUUGUGGCCACAUGCCUUUAUAAGGCUUCAUUUGAGCAGCCUUGGAGGUUAAGCAUCAGCACCAAACAUUUUACAUUUAAAACUGUUUGUUUUAAAUAAAAACUUCUUGGCCCUUUAAGAGGAUUUUUUUGCAGACAGAUAUGCAUGCGUAUGUUUCCUGUUUACAGCCGAGUUUUAUGGAAGUAUAAAUCUUAAGUGUAUCCUGUCAAGUGUGGUGCAUCAGGUUCAGUGCUGGCCCCGCCCUGUCCAGUUCAAAUCUGUUUUUUCUUUAUACUGACGAAUCAGUCAACUAACUCUCAGUUUCACAUUAAAAUGACAGAAUACUGGCUCCAAUGUAAGGAUCCACAUGUAAAGUGAAAUAUAUCAAUCAACAGAAAAUCCUUUAAGUAACUGUUGAUCACAUGUGAAGGAUAUUUGCAGGUAUUUUAUAAACCAAACCAUAAACAAAAACUGAUUUUUCAUCACUGAUAUUCUGUCGAUAUAUCUGUAGUUGGAAAUGCAUUUAAAUAAAUAAAAUCCAAGCAGGUUAAGAUGACUACUUCAGUCUCACUUAUCCUUAAAAAGCAACCCUGCCUUGUUUUCUUCUUUCCUCUGACACAUGAAAUACUGAACUGCAGCCAACAUUCACGAAUUAGAUGACGGGAAAAUUGUAAGAGAACCUCUGGGCUGGACCAGAGCUGCUGUACCUUCAAUAAUACUGUGUGGCAUGAGUCUGGAUUAGUUCCUAGGGGCUGCAUCAACAAGACAUGACUUCUUAGACAAUUGCACUAACUGAUCUGCUCUGAUUGCAGUGUUUAAAGCGUGACCCUCUGCAGGGCUGCAGGUAAGAUGCUGUUUUACACUUUUGGUAUAAAAAUACACAUUUGGUUCAGUAGAGAUUCAUUAAAAUUGGGAUGCAAGUAUUUUAAUAAAUCACUUUCUUUUUUUACUUUCAGCUUUUUGAACUUGAUGUAUCUUGAAAACUCAGACAUCUGGCGGAUGUUUAUAUUGUGUUUCUUUUUGGUGAAAGACUUCUUCUAAAAGCUGCAUGUAAAUGUCGUUUUUCAUUUUCUAUCUUUGUUUACAUUAGAGUAGGUAGCUUGUUACGACUCAACGUUCCCCACUGCUGUGUGCUGUUUGUGGUUUGCCUUUAAGGAUAUAGUCGGGGUACUCGUGUCAAAGCCUGCCAGUCUGUGGAAUCACUCAUUUCAAAUAUGUUCUCGUCCCUCCAGAGAUCACUGAUCCAUCCAAAGCUGCUGUCACAAACAACCUGAGAGGUGUUUGCAUUGAAAUCUCUGGUCUUUAUAUUUCAGAUCAGUAUGUGGGAGGCAGAUCACUGCAUGCUGAAAAUAUGCUGCGUUACCUGUAGUGCUCGGAUUUAUUCUUUACUUGUUUUUCCAGAAAUGCAUGUUUGUGAGUACGUGUGAGUGUUGGUCACAUUCAGUGCAUCUGGCCGUAGCAGCACAUCAUUACUGGUAUUUUUCACUGCAUUACCAGUAUGUUAUGUGCUGCUUCUGUCAGACACACAUCACUACAUUGCUGUGAUUAUCAUUUAUUUUGUUAGAAAUAAGCAGCACUGCAGUUUAAUGUGUCUAAAACUUCCCAGUGGACGAACAUAACGGUCUGUGGGUCGAUUAUGACUGUUACACAUUAAUAAAAGGUCAGCAUUUGAAAACUAAAAUGUCUACUGAAACUUAUUUUAGACCGAAAGAAAAGGUUCAAAUCUUGUCUCACCUUAAACUACAUGCAUGCUAAAGUUCUUUAAGGUCGCGAUGGCUUUGUUCCAAGCACAAUAAUAAAAUCUGAGCCAGGUUUGAGUGUCUACAGCGCUGAUGAAUCUUUACAAAACGCAAAUGAAUGUGUCAUGAUUUCCACUUAUGUGAGCACACAGAGAUGGUGUAUGAAGGAUAUCACACUGCUGGUCACUGUGUUCCUAUAAAUGUCCUUGAUGCCGUCAAUCACAUCCACCGUCAGCACCUUCACAGCUUUUAGCUCAAGGGAUAUUUCUUUAAAUCAUCCUUUUGCAAUUUACUUUUCCCUCUUCAGGAGAGAAUUAGCAUCACUUUUCUUAGUGUCUUAAUGUGUUGGGGUGCACUUGGAGGCUGGCAGAUGAAAACUAAAAUAAUGUUUUCUUCUAUUUAGACAAAAACAUUUCUUUGGGAACUAAACAGAAUGGAAAAGAUGCACAAGCACAUUCAAAUUCGCAGCUAUUGCAUCAUCCCCCAAACAUCUGUUUCUUUUAAGCCAACGUGUUUACGCAGCUAUGCUUCGCUGCACUUCAAAGCUCAAGCACUUUCAUGCAAAAUGAUACUGAUGAAA